rnacentral:misc_RNA from 1 species
UUAAGUUCAGCGGGUAGUCCUACCUGAUCCGAGGUCAACCUUGAGAAGUUUGGGGGGCAAGGCAAGCCUACGCCGGUCCGCCAGGGCGAGAUACAAGUACUGCGCCCGGAGUUCCAGCGAGUCCGCCACUAGAUUUAGGGGCCUACGGCACGUAGAGCCCCAACACCAAGCCAGGCUUGAGGGUUGAAAUGACGCUCGGA